CGUGAUCUAGCGGCGGACGGGUGAGUAACGCGUGGGAACGUGCCCUUCUCUACGGAAUAGUCCCGGGAAACUGGGUUUAAUACCGUAUACGCCCUUCGGGGGAAAGAUUUAUCGGAGAAGGAUCGGCCCGCGUUGGAUUAGGUAGUUGGUGGGGUAAUGGCCUACCAAGCCGACGAUCCAUAGCUGGUUUGAGAGGAUGAUCAGCCACACUGGGACUGAGACACGGCCCAGACUCCUACGGGAGGCAGCAGUGGGGAAUCUUAGACAAUGGGCGCAAGCCUGAUCUAGCCAUGCCGCGUGAGUGACGAAGGCCCUAGGGUCGUAAAGCUCUUUCACCAGGGAUGAUAAUGACAGUACCUGGAGAAGAAACCCCGGCUAACUCCGUGCCAGCAGCCGCGGUAAUACGGAGGGGGUUAGCGUUGUUCGGAAUUACUGGGCGUAAAGCGCGCGUAGGCGGGCUGUUAAGUCGGGGGUGAAAUCCCGGGGCUCAACCCCGGAACUGCCCUCGAUACUGGCAGCCUAGAGUUCGAGAGAGGUGAGUGGAAUUCCGAGUGUAGAGGUGAAAUUCGUAGAUAUUCGGAGGAACACCAGUGGCGAAGGCGGCUCACUGGCUCGAUACUGACGCUGAGGUGCGAAAGCG
rnacentral:rRNA from 1 species